CCUUAACUUGGCAAACAUACAAGGCCAUAACUAAAGGGUGUAUACGUCAUGGAAAUUUUCCUGACUUAGUUCAAGAUGGCAUCUUAAAGUCUGAAUAGGUUAUCUGUUGUUUAUACUAAGUCGUAAGUGUACAGUCGCGGGAGAUUCCCGGAUUUGGGGAAGUUCCAUUAACUUGGGGUUACCACAGUAUAUUGUGUACUGCAAGUGUCGUAGAAUAGCCUUGAAGCUUGUUUAUGCAUUAUUGUUAUUGUAAUUCGUCUGGGACAAAAUGGCACAAACAUAUUCUGCACUGAGGUUAUUGCUUAAAGAAACCUCUAUGAAAAACAAUAUGUUCAAUUUCUAACACCUUGUCAGUUUGCAAUAUCUUUUAAAGACAAAGUACACAGUUUAAGAAAUACAACAUUUCAUUCUAAAACUUGUAAUGUUUGCAUUUGCCCAUAACACAACAAACUAACAUAGAUCUCUAUUCUUGUGUGCUGUCCUUAAUUCUGGAAUCAGCCUGUGUACAUCUGUUGGCACACACAUCCACGCUCAUUCCCUAAACUGAUCAUAUCUCUUGAAGUUAUCUGAUUCUUAUAACUUUCUGUGUUACACUGCAUUGCUUGUCUGUCUCCUAAUUUCGAUUUAGCUAAAAUUGCUUUUAUUUGUCUGAUUAUAAGUUUACAAGGAAAGGCCUUUAUUGAUUUAUCUCCACAUGUAUUUUCUCUGUCAAAAUUUUCAAUUAACAAAUUUAAUUUCUCAUUUGCUUUUGAUUUGAUAUCUCGGAUAAAAUAUCUGCAAGAUCUUAAAUAAUGUUGUUUAUUGCACCAAAAACAAAUAAUUUUAGGAGUUAUAUUCUGUCUUUGAUUAACUCUACAGUUUUUAGUUGAACACAUUGGGAGGGGCUCAGCUGUCUGUAUCACUCUUUUACACUCUGUCCUAGAAGGAGGAGGAGGGGGAUGAGGGGUGUAAAAUCUGCACUUCUUUCUCUGCCUAAUUCCACAAGUCAUUUUAACCCCUUCAUUAUUGGUUUCUCUGCUUAAGUUAUCCAAGAAUAAAGCUACUUCUGUCAAAGUGCUUUUUUUCUCUAGCUAACAGAAUUGCAGUUGGAUCUAGAUCUUGAAAUUUUUUCACAAAUUCAUUAAUUAACUGAUCCUCAGGAAAAUUACCAACAUGUCUAUAUGCAUUUUCAAAUUUUACAAGAAAACUAAAAAUAUCCUCAUCAAUCUGUGGUUUUAGUUUUUCCAACACUUCUGCAAAAUCAUUCCUUGUUGUUAAUUUUAUUAAUUGUGUUAAUCUGUCUUGCUUAUUACCAUAUAUUAUUUUAUCAUUGUCCUCACAUUUUACAGGCGCGGUCAGCCUACAUGCCAUUUGAGUCGGCAGCCAUAUUUGAAAUAGUCUAUUUCUUUGUUCGUCAUUUAGGCUAUAUUUGUCCAAAUUUGACUCAAACAUUUCAGCAUUAGUAAAUGCAUCCACUGACGUGUCAUAAACUGGAAUACAUUUCACAAUUUUCAUUUAAUUGUUCAUGGAUUUUCAAAUUAAGUGUUGCAGCUCUUUCUUGAAAUUUACAUUUCUGCAAAUCACUCUGUGAGGUUACAUUUUCAGUAUCAAUUGGUUCUGGGAUUAGAUUCUGUGCCUGUAUUUUUCUUGUGUUCACACACACUUGCUUUACUUCAUUUCUAAGCUGACAAAAAAGAUCAUUUCUUAAUUCAACUCUAUCCUCUAAUUCACAGACUGUUUCUGACAUUCUCUCAAAGUUACAUUGAGAGCAUGUGCUCUCUGUUACAUUGUUACAGUGUUCAUUUAAAUCUGAUUUGUCUUCUGUUAACAUAUUCAGAUCUAUUUCUUUAUCUGCUGAUUCUAAAUUUUCUUGACCUGCAUCUCGUUUACAAAUCAAUGCAUUGUAAGUACAGACUAGUUUCAUAACAUUUCUGAUCUUUUGUUUUCUUAUUAACAAUUUCUUGUCAGUUUCAGUAUUGGCAAUUUCACAUUGUGUGUAUAAAGAUUGCCACAAAACAGCAUCUGAAUAGCUGCUAUUCAAUGCAAACUGCAAUUUACUUUUCUCUGCAAUAUCAUUUAUGAAUUCCAUGUUACUCACCAGAUCAGUUAUUUCUGUCUAUUUCGUUGCUUCAUCCACACAGCUGCGCAGUUCUGGGCUUGAAUCUGGAUGAUUGCCAAUCUCUGCCACGUGCUUGCUUCUAGAAUUCACGUUGUAUCUUGUGCUGCUUUCUUUAUACCACGUUCUUUUCUCUGUUGUAGAAUAUAAUCUUGGAACAGUCUUUGUGAUUUGAAAAUCUUUGUCUUCUGAUAAACACACACAGCUCUUAACACGGUUUUUAACACGGUUCUUUUUUCUGUUUCUGGCUGCACACACUUCUAUUCAACACAAAGAGUAAUUCGAUAUCCGUCCUCUCUCUGCUCAACUCCCCCUGAAUAGAAGUUUGUAACACCAGAAAACAGUCUGGCUGGCUCGUCCAUGUAAUAUCUAAUUUGGAACGGUGUUAAUGUAGAAUCCUCUUAAUUUCUUCUUGUCUUCAGUUGAUUGAUAUAUAUACACAUCUUUUGUAUAUAUAGUCUUGGGCCAAAUGCUCGCCACAAUAAUAUAUGCCUAUAUUAUUGAAAAGUACUAAUGCGCAAUCUGACUUACGGUUUCUUCAGGUUUAUUCUUAGUUACUGAUACAUAAUAAAUGAUGUUACAGGAUAAUGGACAUUCAACAGCAGAUGGUAAUUGCUGGACUUCUUUACAACCUUACAUCUUUACAUCGAGAGAGAGCCAGAGCCAAGAGAGAGUGACCUCAUGUCCCUCUGUUACUUAUACCAUCUGUUACUUAUGUCAAUCCAAACAUCCAUAUAUAAUUAAUAGAAACAUAGAAUAUGCAAUAUUCUACAGAACAGAUGAAAAUGGAAACAACCUGUGACGGAACGCUGGCACUCCGACUGAGUACCUCCGCCAAUCGAUGCUCCUAGCGCUUGCCGAGGACUCCAAGCACUCUAACCGACAGCAUCAGCACUGCAGACCCCACUUCCAGCGAUACAGCUGCGCCGGGGUCUCGCCGUUUCCACCCACCCUGGAUCCACAACCAGGAUCCAGCUCCCAGUGGGUGAACCUCUCCUAAAUCCAGAGAGCGUAGCAGGGACAAAUCAAGCUAUUGCAAGAGCUUACUCUGGGGAGUAAGUGAUUAUAGCAAUCCCCAGAGUGUAGGUAUCCCUUCCCCCAAACAUGAGCCAAG